GUGGGGAAUUUUGGACAAUGGGCGCAAGCCUGAUCCAGCCAUGCCGCGUGCAGGAUGAAGGCCUUCGGGUUGUAAACUGCUUUUGUACGGAACGAAAAGACUUCUUCUAAUACAGGAGGUCCAUGACGGUACCGUAAGAAUAAGCACCGGCUAACUACGUGCCAGCAGCCGCGGUAAUACGUAGGGUGCAAGCGUUAAUCGGAAUUACUGGGCGUAAAGCGUGCGCAGGCGGUUAUAUAAGACAGAUGUGAAAUCCCCGGGCUCAACCUGGGAACUGCAUUUGUGACUGUAUAGCUGGAGUACGGUAGAGGGGGAUGGAAUUCCGCGUGUAGCAGUGAAAUGCGUAGAUAUGCGGAGGAACACCGAUGGCGAAGGCAAUCCCCUGGACCUGUACUGACGCUCAUGCACGAAAGCGUGGGGAGCAAACAGGAUUAGAAACCCUAGUAGUCC
rnacentral:rRNA from 1 species